ensembl:lncRNA
UAAUGUGAUAUAAAGUGUAAUAUUGGAAUGAAACUGACAUGGUACAUGUGUCUUAUAUUUAGACAGUCAAAUAGUGAUGGAUAUCUCAGAAAAAACGAUGCAGAGGAAAUAUAUGACAUUUUAAAUGCGGUCCUCCGGACCAGGUUGAAGAUCAAAUGCGGCCCACUUGGCAAAAUGAGUGUGACACCCCUGAUCUAGACUGUUAGAGAGGUUACUACCCUCACUGUUCCCCAUGCUACUUCCUCAAACAGAGGUUACUACCCUCACUGUUCCCAAUACUACUUCCUCAAACAGAGGUUACUACCCUCACUGAUCCUAAUACUACUUCCUCAAACAGAGGUUACUACCCUCACUGAUCCCAAUGCUACUUCCUCAAACAGAGGUUACUACCCUCACUGAUCCCAAUACUACUUCC